rnacentral:rRNA from 1 species
CGGACGGGUGAGUAAUACUUAGGAAUCUGCCCAUUAGUGGGGGACAACUAGAAGAAAUUCUAGCUAAUACCGCAUACGCCCUACGGGGGAAAGCGGGGGGAUCUUCGGACCUCGCGCUAAUGGAUGAGCCUAAGUCGGAUUAGCUUGUUGGUGAGGUAAUGGCUCACCAAGGCGACGAUCCGUAGCUGGUCUGAGAGGACGAUCAGCCACACUGGGACUGAGACACGGCCCAG